UCGUGAGACUCCUGUCACAGC
rnacentral:piRNA from 1 species